rnacentral:lncRNA from 1 species
GGAACCGUACAAAGCACUGCGCGCAUUCUUCUACUGGAACGUCUUUCAUUUCGGCUUCGACCUCACAAUAAUACUGGCCUUCUUUAUCGCUGUCCUGAUGAAGUACGACGGAAACGAGGCCGUCCGCUCCUCGCCACCAUUUGUGUUCGUUGCGACGGCACUGCGAGUAUCUAUACUGUGCAGCUUGUACAAAACCUACCAAAAUUAUUCGCCAGAGGCAAGCCUCACAGCUCGGAAUGAAGGCCCACUUGUAUAUGUGCGACGUGCGAGCUCCGCCUCAAUGGCAAGAUGACGCGGCAGCGCAUGCGUGCUGAGAAUAAAGAAUGCAGUUGGUUAAAUAGAGAAUUGCAUACCAUUGCUGCAAUGCAGUAAGCGGACGGCGGUGAUCAUGGAAGGUACACUUGAAGCAAGAAGGUUUAAGAGAAGCUUAUCUUGCGAAUUAGCGCGGGUAAAUUUAAUCUGUGAGUAGACAGACGGUGAGCCUUUUUACCGGGAAACUACUACAUUAUUGUUUAACGUUUUCCUCGAAAAGAC